AUUUAAAAAAAAUAAAUUAAUUAAUUUUGGUACCUGUUGUUAUCUUCAAAAUCAAAAUAAAAUGUGUAAGUAAAUAACAGUGAGAUUAUAUUUUAGCACUGCUCAACAGAAAUUUGCAGAGAUUUCAAAACUGGCCCAUGCUGGAUUGGUGCUGGUCUAGCUAGUUGGCUAUGAUAGCCAUGCUGUUCACCAGUUGGUGAAGUUGGUCAACCAGCAUUGUCUGUGAGAUGACAGACUGGUUGGCCAAAGGAAGUCAUACUGGAUACAGCUAGUUAUGAAGCCGGUUGGGGACCAGCAUGUAAAACAUAACAUAUGUUGUUGUUUUUAAGAAACUUUCUCUGUCUGCAAGUUGUCCAGUUUUUAGCUCUUCUUAAUUUCAUUUAAUGUUGAGCAUGCAGAUUAUGCCUCCUGCUAAUAGCCAUGUAAAGACAUCAGCAUCUGCUGCCUCUGAUCCAGGACCAGUGUCGAGUUACGUGCUAAUGGAUCCUCAUUACUGCACAAAGAGGGUUCAGUGAACUUCAGAUUCCUGAUGUAUCUCAGCUGGCAGUUGGGUGAUAAUCUGUAAACUGUUUGUAAACCCUGAUUCAGGACCACACGGAUUACAUCUAGACUCAGAUAAGACGAAUCGUUCGUUUCGUGUUUGCAACGGUGCUUGAAUCUUGCUGAACUCAUGUAAUAUGAAAACAUUCAUUUGUUCUCUCUUAUUGUAAACCCCAAAAUCAUUAAAUUAUUCCAUUCUCGUCUUUCCAAACUUGUAUGAUGUUAUAUACUUCUUUUUUUUUUUUUUUUUUUUUUUACAGUUUCUGUCCCUAUUUACGUUCAGUGAAUGGAAAAGGGCAGCCUGGACAUUCUAUAGAAUAAGGCGAGAUGGAACUGUAGGAAGAAGCUGAAGAAGUUGAGAAAUACAUGCUGGCAGUUAUUCUGAAAAUGUCUGUUUCCCACCGGAAUGAAACUUAUACAGGCAAAACAAUGAAAAGCCCCCUCCGUUGGAGAGAGAGAGAGAGAGAAAGAGAGGGAUGGAAUGAGAAAGAGAGCGAGUGAAACCGAGUGAGUCAUGAGUGCAGCUUUGAACAACAAGGGGAAAUCCUCCUAUUGAGAGGCAUGCGCUGUGGAAACGCAUCACUCAUAGAGGUAAUGGAACCGGAGGCCACACA
rnacentral:lncRNA from 1 species